AGAGUUUGAUCCUGGCUCAGAACGAACGCUGGCGGCGUGGAUUAGGCAUGCAAGUCGAACGAGAACCUUAGGAUUCAAUUCUUCGGAAAAGAUUCCUUUGGAGAGAGUGGCGAAAGGGUGAGUAACCCGUGGGCAAUUUGCCCUUAAGUUGGGGAUAGCCACUGGAAACGGUGGAUAAUACCGAAUGUGGUCGUACAUCGCAUGAUGUACUGUCUAAAGACGGGGAUCUUCGGACCUGUCGCUUGAGGAUGAGCCCGCGUCCCAUCAGCUUGUUGGUAGGGUAACGGCCUACCAAGGCUUACGGGUAGCUGGUCUGAGAGGAUGGUCAGCCACACUGGGACUGAGACACUGCCCAGACUCCUACGGGAGGCUGCAGUCGAGAAUCAUUCGCAAUGCGCGAAAGCGUGACGAUGCGACGCCGCGUGUAGGAUGACGGCCUUCGGGUUGUAAACUACUGUCAUGGGGGAACAACCGCCUGAGUGUCAAUAGCACUUAGGCCUGAUGGUACCCCAAGAGGAAGCCACGGCUAACUCUGUGCCAGCAGCCGCGGUAAUACAGAGGUGGCGAGCGUUGUUCGGAUUUACUGGGCGUAAAGGGUGCGUAGGCGGUUUUGUGUGUCGGAUGUGAAAUCUCACUUUUCAUGGGUGAAACUGCAUUCGAAACUGCAGAGCUAGAGUACGGGAGAGGAGAGCAGAAUUCUUGGUGUAGCGGUGAAAUGCGUAGAUAUCAAGAGGAACACCGGUGGCGAAGGCGGCUCUCUGGAACGAUACUGACGCUGAGGCACGAAAGCUGGGGGAGCAAACAGGAUUAGAUACCCUGGUAGUCCCAGCCGUAAACGGUGUGCACUUGGUGUAGAUCGGUUUGUCCCGAUCUGUGCCGGAGCUAACGCGUUAAGUGCACCGCCUGGGGAGUACGGUCGCAAGGCUAAAACUCAAAGGAAUUGACGGGGGCCCGCACAAGCGGUGGAGCAUGUGGCUUAAUUCGAUGCAACGCGAAGAACCUUACCUGGGCUUGACAUGGAGACCCUUCGGGGGUGUAGGUGAAAACCUCUUUACUCACACAGGUGCUGCAUGGCUGUCGUCAGCUCGUGCCGUGAGGUGUUGGGUUAAGUCCCGCAACGAGCGCAACCCUUGUGAUUAGUUGCUAGUGUUUCAGAAAUGGAACAAGCACUCUAAUCAGACUGCCUGUGAUAAGCAGGAGGAAGGUGGGGAUGACGUCAAGUCAGUAUGGUCCUUAUGCCCAGGGCUGCACACGUGCUACAAUGGGCGGUACAGAGGGACGCAAGACCGCGAGGUGGAGCAAAUCCCCAAAACCGUCCUAAGUUCGGAUCGAAGUCUGCAACUCGACUUCGUGAAGUUGGAAUCUAGUAAAGGCGUAUCAGCUACGACGCCUUGAAUACGUUCCCGGGCCUUGUACACACCGCCCGUCACAUCACGAAAGCCGAUUGCACCCGAAGUCGCUGAUCUAACCCGCAAGGGAAGAAGGUGCCGAAGGUGUGAUUGGUGAUUGGGAUGAAGUCGGAACAAGGUA
rnacentral:rRNA from 1 species